GGACUUAGUAAGAGGAAAAUCCGUCGACUUUAAAAAUCGUGAGGGUUCAAGUCCCUCUAUCCCCA
rnacentral:tRNA from 1 species